UAGUACAAAAAAGUAUUUUAGAAUAAUUUGAUUGACAGACUUGAGUUUUGACCCAUUUAUAUUUAAAUCACAUCGUAUUUUAAAGCACUUCCCCUCUUUAGUAGCACUUUUGAUUUUGGGUGAGCUCUCUUUUCAUUUCGAACAACAGUAUUGGAUGAACAACAAUGUCGUAUCCUUCGACUCCACCAACAAAACAUGCAAAAGAAACUAUACACACCCAAAAACUGAAGAAUUUCUUGAAAAACUCAGAAUUCUCAUAAGUUAAGAGCUGCUCCUUGUUUUUGGCUCUCUAAACUUGUUGAAAUCAGUAGAAAAGUAGGAGUAUAUAUAUGGUAGUAUAUAUAGGGUUGAAUAUGAGGUGAACUUUUGGGACGAAUUCGAUGUGGUUCAAGGGAUGAAUUCAAUUCUUUUUAAUGAAUAAAGUGAUGGCUGGAAGAUAGAGAAAAUUGUACCAAUUUGAAACAAAUUUGAUGAAGGGAAAUUGAUAAACUGAAAAGACGAGGUCGUGUGGCUCUGGCUCGUAUCUAGAAAAUUGACUUGAAAAUAUUUUUUGCAUUUUUAAAGACAAAUAUUUUAAAUUGUUUGAAAUUAGAAAAACUCAACAAUUAAUUUAAAUUGCGAAGGAUCAAAAUGGGGGUCAACAAUGCAAAUGUUAGGAAUUUUUGAAAUGA
rnacentral:lncRNA from 1 species